CCUAUGGGUGGCUGCAGUGGGGAAUAUUGGACAAUGGGGGGAACCCUGAUCCAGCGACGCCGCGUGAGUGAAGAAGUAUUUCGGUAUGUAAAGCUCUAUCAGCAGGGAAGAAAGAAAUGACGGUACCUGACUAAGAAGCCCCGGCUAACUACGUGCCAGCAGCCGCGGUAAUACGUAGGGGGCAAGCGUUAUCCGGAAUUACUGGGUGUAAAGGGAGCGUAGACGGUGAUGUAAGUCUGGAGUGAAAGGCGGGGGCCCAACCCCCGGACUGCUCUGGAAACUAUGUGACGUGAGUGCAGGGGAGGUGAGCGGAAUUCCUAGUGUAGCGGUGAAAUGCGUAGAUAUUAGGAGGAACACCAGUGGCGAAGGCGGCUCACUGGACUGUAACUGACGUUGAGGCUCGAAAGCGUGGGGAGCAAACAGGAUUAGAUACCCUUGUAGUC
rnacentral:rRNA from 1 species